AACGAACGCUGGCGGCAGGCCUAACACAUGCAAGUCGAGCGCCCCGCAAGGGGAGCGGCGGACGGGUGAGUAACGCGUGGGAACGUAUCCUUUGCUACGGAAUAGCCUCGGGAAACUGGGAGUAAUACCGUAUGUGCCCUUCGGGGAAGGAUUUAUCGGCAAAGGAUCGGCCCGCGUUGGAUUAGGUAGUUGGUGGGGUAAUGGCCUACCAAGCCGACGAUCCAUAGCUGGUUUGAGAGGAUGAUCAGCCACACUGGGACUGAGACACGGCCCAGACUCCUACGGGAGGCAGCAGUGGGGAAUCUUAGACAAUGGGCGCAAGCCUGAUCUAGCCAUGCCGCGUGAGCGAUGAAGGCCUUAGGGUUGUAAAGCUCUUUCAGUGGGGAAGAUAAUGACUGUACCCACAGAAGAAGCCCGG
rnacentral:rRNA from 1 species